rnacentral:rRNA from 1 species
UACAGAGGUCUCAAGCGUUGUUCGGAUUCAUUGGGCGUAAAGGGUGCGUAGGCGGCGCGGUAAGUCGGGUGUGAAAUCUCGGAGCUUAACUCCGAAACUGCAUUCGAUACUGCCGUGCUUGAGGAGCUGGAGAGAGACUGGAAUUUACGGUGUAGCGGUGAAAUGCGUAGAUAUCGUAAGGAAGACCAGUGGCGAAGGCGGGUCUCUGGACAGUUCCUGACGCUGAGGCACGAAGGUCAGGGGAGCAAACGGG